GUAGGUGAACCUGCGGAAGGAUCAUUAACACGUAUCCAAACGUUAAAACCCCCCUGUGAACCUUCAACACCAAUGCAUCCUGCACACGUUCACGUUAGGGGCCUCCCUUCAGAGGUGCGGUCGAGCGGUUUAGCAUUAGAUACGUCCCGGCGCUCCCAAGUGGCUCCAUUGAUCUGAAAGUGUUCAUUCGGGUUGCGUAAGAGUUGGCGCAGUAAACGAUCGUUGGGCCCACACGGCCCAGCGUCCGGGGCCUCUCCGCGGUUACAAUCGGCGGCAAGGGAUACACACGGAGCUUAUCUCAAUGACGAGAGAGACGGCCGGCGCCGAAAGGUUGUAGGCAUUUAAAAAACGAACAACUGUUAACAAUGGAUAUCUUGGUUCUC
rnacentral:misc_RNA from 1 species